GUGCUUGCUUCGGCAGCACAUAUACUUAAAUUGGAACGAUACAGAGAAGAUUAGCAUGGCCCCUGAGCAAGGAUGACAUGCAAAUUCGUGAAGUGUUCCAUAGUUUU
rnacentral:snRNA from 1 species